UGAGCAAUCUGCCCUUCUCUUCGGAAUAAGCGUUGGAAACGACGUCUAAUGCCGAAUACGACCUCCUUUCGCAUGAUCGGAGGUGGAAAGCUCCGGCGGAGAAGGAUGAGCUCGCGGCCUAUCAGCUAGUUGGUGUGGGUAAUGGCCCACCAAGGCGACGACGGGUAGCUGGUCUGAGAGGAUGGCCGGCCACAUUGGGACUGAGACACGGCCCAGCUCCGUAGGAGG
rnacentral:rRNA from 1 species